UGCGGAGGGUGCGAGCGUUGUCCGGAAUCACUGGGCGUAAAGGGCGCGUAGGCGGCCUGAUAAGUAGGGGGUGAAAUCCUGCGGCUUAACCGCAGGGCUGCCUUCUAAACUGUCAGGCUCGAGCACAGUAGAGGCAGGUGGAAUUCCCGGUGUAGCGGUGGAAUGCGUAGAGAUCGGGAAGAACAUCAGUGGCGAAGGCGGCCUGCUGGGCUGUUGCUGACGCUGAGGCGCGACAGCGUGGGGAGCAAACAGG
rnacentral:rRNA from 1 species